rnacentral:rRNA from 1 species
AUGAUGGGGGUGAGAGUGGCCACUGGCAAGGCUCUGAUGAUACUGGUUGCAGUGUCUAUUAUCUGCGCCGGCGGCGGAGUGGUGGCCUCGCCGGCGGCCGCGGAGGAGGUGCCCCUGGUGCCGGCGGUGUACGUGUUCGGCGACUCGACGAUGGACGUGGGCAACCUGGGAAACUUUACGCCGUCGCCUCCCUACGGCGUCGACCUCCCGCUGGGCAUCGUGCCCAGGUUCAGCAACGGAUACAACAUGGCCGACUCCAUCUCGAGGCUGCUGGGUUUUGAUAUGAGCCCGCCGGCUUACCUGUCGCUGACGCCGGAGACGAGCGUUGAGAUCCUGAAAGGCUUGGGUGGAGUCAACUACGCCUCCGGUGGAUCCGGCAUUCUCGACAUCACUCAUAAUGCAGACCUCCCGUUGAGCAAGCAGGUGGAGUACUUCGCGGCCACCAAGGCAAAGAUGAUAGAGAAUGGCACCGUGGACAUCGAUGCGCUGCUGUCCAAGUCGCUCUUCCUCAUUAGCGACGGCGGCAACGAUAUGUUUGACUUCAUCUUCAAGGGACGGUCGAUCUUUGAGUUUCCGUCCUUCCACCGGGACCUUCUGUCCAACUACACCAAGUAUGUCCAGACGCUGUAUGGGCUCGGGGCGCGGCGUUUCGGUCUCAUUGACGUGCCACCUGUCGGAUGCGUGCCGAUGAUGCGGUAUAUACUCUCCAAGGCCGGUUUGGACAUGUGCGAACGCGUCGCAAACGGCCUCGCUGAGGGCUUCAACAAAAAGUUGAGCAUCGAGAUGGCGAAGCUCGCUCACUCGCUGCCUGGGAUGAGGUACUCCGUGGGGAGCUCCUACAAGCUGGUGACCAACUACACGGCGCACCCGGAGGCCGCCGGGUUCGACGAUGUGAAGAGCGCGUGCUGCGGCGGCGGGAUGUUCGGCAUGGAGACCUUGUGCGUGCCCGAUGUCACCACCUGCCCCAACCACGACGACCAUCUCUUCUGGGACGCGGUGCACUGCACCCAGGCCACCUCCAACAAGGGCGCUGAGGCCAUCUUUGCCGCGCCGGUAGGGCUAAAUUUCACCGCACCCAUCAAUUUCAAGCAGCUGCUUCUUGAUGAUCAACCCACACCGUCAGCCGUUAAUUUACUUACGAGUUAG